GGGCCUGUAGCUCAGGUGGAUAGAGCAACGGAUUCCUAAUCCGUGUGCCGGCAGUUCAAGUCUGCCCAGGCCCACCA
rnacentral:tRNA from 1 species